UACGAAGGGGGCUAGCGUUGUUCGGAUUUACUGGGCGUAAAGCGCACGUAGGCGGAUUGUUAAGUCAGGGGUGAAAUCCUGGAGCUCAACUCCAGAACUGCCUUUGAUACUGGCAAUCUUGAGUCCGGAAGAGGUGAGUGGAACUCCUAGUGUAGAGGUGGAAUUCGUAGAUAUUAGGAAGAACACCAGUGGCGAAGGCGGCUCACUGGUCCGGUACUGGACGCUGAGGUGCGAAAGCGUGGGGAGCAA
rnacentral:rRNA from 1 species